AUGUCUGAACACCCGGCGUGCGGAUCCGUAUACACGUGCCGAGAAACAAGAAAACGCUUUCCCUUGGAGCGUUACCCCACUUUUAGAAACCGCGUUUGGAAUGACUGCUCUUGCUUUGGCUUCCUGAAGGCUAAAGGCAGGCAGAUGUUGAGGAGGGAUGCUGACCUGCUGGGGGUGCCUGCCCAGGGAAGGGACCGCAGGCGCUCACAUCAGGUCGGGGCACUUACCUGCGCACAGCUGUCAUGGCAUUUUGCGCCGUGUGCCUCACCAAAUGCCUUAAAGUAAAGCAGUGUUCAACAAGCGAGGCAACCUGUCUGUGUGCUAAGUUGUACGUACCGCAUCUUUAACCUGAGCAGCAAACCUGCAACUCCUGCAGAGUUGGCGGAACAGUCUCAGAAGUUUUGGAUUCAAAGGGCAAGAAAUUUCACUUUAAAAGUCAUUCACCCACUUCUUAACUGCCCUCUCACCCCAGUUAAUGCCGGACAAUUAAGAAGCAUGUUUAUAAAUUCCCUCUGCGGACACUGUCCGACAAUGAAGGCUUGUUAGAGGCUUGGUAAAGAUGUUCAGAGAAACUUUUGCGAAAUAAUCAACAGCAUCUGAGAGAAAGCUAAAGGAAAAGAAGUUAAAGCCUGAUAAUCCGAUUGGGAAAAAGUUUUGUUAGACUAGAUAGAAGUAAAUUACUGCACGUUUCUUCAAAAGCAAACCCAUCAGCUGAUACGAGUUCCCCUAGAACAAGAACCUCUGGCGAACUCCUCCAAAUUUAGGGGACGUUUGCAUUUUGUAACACUCAAAGCUAAAGAUCCGUCUGAAAACAAAACCUCUGAAUUCCUUACAGCGUCAUCUGCCAACAAAAUGUAUUGUCUUGGCAGAAAAAGGAUCAAGGAGAAUUUAAUUUCAUUUUAAACUGUGCAUCAUCUUGAUAGCGAAGGAAAAAGCCGCAGCAACAAUCUCCCCGCUCCACGCCCCCGCCGUUCAGAAAAAAAAAAAAAAAAAAAAAAAAAAAAAAAAAAAAAAAAAAAAGGAAGGGGGGAAGAGAGAACUGGAAAAACCACAUAAACUUUUACAAAGAAAAUAAAAGCAAGUUCGACAUGAAAACCCCUUCCUGU
rnacentral:lncRNA from 1 species